CACGUAGUUAGCCGGGGCUUCUUAGUCAGGUACCGUCAUUUUCUUCCCUGCUGAUAGAAGUUUACAUACCGAAAUACCUCAUCCUUCACGCGGCGUCGCUGCAUCAGGGUUUCCCCCAUUGUGCAAUAUUCCCCACUGCUGCCUCCCGUAGGAGUUUGGGCCGUGUCUCAGUCCCAAUGUGGCCGGUCACCCUCUCAGGUCGGCUACUGAUCGUCGCCUUGGUGAGCCUUUACCUCACCAACCAGCUAAUCAGACGCGGGUCCAUCCCAUACCACCGGAGUUUUUACCCCUGCACCAUGCGGCGCUGUGGUCUUAUGCGGUAUUAGCAGACAUUUCUAUCUGUUAUCCCCCUGUAUGGGCAGGUUACCCACGCGUUACUCACCCGUCCGCCACUCAGUCACAGUACUAAUCAACCCGAAGGAAUCAAAAGUAAAGUGCUUCGUUCGACUUGCAUGUGUUAAGCACGCCGCCGGCGUCAUCCUGAGCGAGAGUACAACUCU
rnacentral:rRNA from 1 species